AAACAAGAUGGAGGAUUCGGCCUCGGCCUCGCUGUCUUCUGCAGCCGCUACUGGAACCUCCACCUCGACUCCAGCGGCCCCGACAGCACGGAAGCAGCUGGAUAAAGAACAGGUUAGAAAGGCAGUGGACGCUCUCUUGACGCAUUGCAAGUCCAGGAAAAACAAUUAUGGGUUGCUUUUGAAUGAGAAUGAAAGUUUAUUUUUAAUGGUGGUAUUAUGGAAAAUUCCAAGUAAAGAACUGAGGGUCAGAUUGACCUUGCCUCAUAGUAUUCGAUCAGAUUCAGAAGAUAUCUGUUUAUUUACGAAGGAUGAACCCAAUUCAACUCCUGAAAAGACAGAACAGUUUUAUAGAAAGCUUUUAAACAAGCAUGGAAUUAAAACCGUUUCUCAGGUAGGAAGCCUGGUUAAUAUUUUCAAGUUAUUUAGAGGAUUUAAUUCAGGCGAAAUGGUAUCACAAAUACAUUGCUAUAUUUCCUAGUAUUUUU
rnacentral:lncRNA from 1 species